GCGGCAGACAGGCAUAUAUACUUCUGCUCCUGCAAUCAACUCAGUUCUCGUCUCUUCUGUCUUCCUCAAGGUGAAAGAAGCACGUUCACCACAAAGUUCACAUCGCGCAGUAAGUUUGGUCACGGAAUCAGCAAUUGGUAUUACGUCAAGGACUGAACCAAAGCUCCUUCUUAGAUAGUCACCAUCUAACCCAGCAACUAUCACAAUCUUGCCAUCAUGAUCAGCAACUUCCGUACAGAAAUCAUAUAGAUCCUCAAAAAACUGAGCUUCGUCAAUGCCAAUGACCUCUAACUUACUGUAUGCUUCAGGUCCACAUCUCUGUUUAAAUGAUGAUAGAUUAGCUAAAGGCCAGCACGGCAAUCUGUCUCCAUCAUGUGUCACAAUGGAAUCCAACCCGUAUCUUGUAUCCUUGUCUGACUUUAAAAUUGCUACACUUCUGCCAUUGCUUCUCUCAGACUUAAUCCUCUUCAAAAGUGUAGUAGUUUUUCCAGCAAACAUAGGACCCACAAUCACAUGAACCUCACCAGAACCAGAACCAGAAUUAGAACCCGAUGCCUCACUACUCAAGACCCGAAUUUGACUAUGAUUUUGCACAGUAGAACACCUAAAGGAAGAAACUUUACUCAUGGGGUUCAUUGUUUGAGCAGAAUUAAGGUUCUUGAAAGUGCUAAGAACCCCAUAUCCCCUGCAUACAAACAUGAUGGUGGGUCUUGAAAGUACUGGGGAAAGGAGUGAUUUCAUUCUUGAUAAUGGUAACAUAAAAAUUGAUUCUUUUUGGGUUUUUUGGGCUGAAAUUCUUCAAAUUUAAUCACAUAAAGACUGUUUGUAGAUAUAAUUUCAUGGGAAAUUGAGUCCAAAUGAUGAUAAAAGUAUAUGAGAUGAGAAAAGGGGGCAGGGUUUUGAG
rnacentral:misc_RNA from 1 species